GCUGGGUGUGAUGGCUCACGCCUGUAAUCCCAGCACUUUGGGAAGCUGAGGUGGGAGGAUCACUUGAGCCCAGGAGCUUGAGACCAGCCUGGGCAACGUAGUGAGACCCCUUCUCUA
rnacentral:SRP_RNA from 1 species